ACCCUGCCCCCAGCUUCUCGUGGCCCCAGGCACCUGUAGCUCAGUUGGGCUCUCUCCCUCCCUCAGCUGCAGGUGCAGCUGCUACAUACUUCCUAAAUACUAGAGUGAUUUGGAGAGGUUUCCCUCAGUUCUUCAACUCUUCCCUCUUUUUCCCCUAGCCUGGAGACAGCCUGGAACCUACAACCGGCGUAUGUCCAAUGGCGAGCAAGUGAGAGGAGCAGGAAGACACCGUCGGUGGGGGUACCUGUGGUCAACUGUCAUCUAGAAGCAGAUGGUCCUUUUUUUUUUUAACCUAUCGCUGAAGGUCAACAGUAGCCUAAUGCUAGUCACAGUGCCUACAUCAUUCACCUCACUUCGUGUUACCAUGAAGGCAUUGUAUCAUCUCACAUCAUCACAAAGAAGAAGGGAUUUCCCAUGGGACCUUUGGCAACAAAAUCUACAUUGAAUGGACUGGAAGUCUAAUCCAGAAAUGCUGGAGCACACCGGUAAUACAUAGGAAUUGAAAGGAGGAGCAUUCUGACAAUGCUUGGAAAGCCAAUAAGAGGUAGGAUGGUUAGUGGGUAAAGCACAUCCUUUAGAACCCAGGUAAUCCUGGAUUUACAUCUUACCUUUUCUGCGGACUAGCCGUAGCUUGGGCUAAGUAAAUUAACCUCAGGAUUUUCAUCUGUAAAAUUGGGAUAACAGCAAUACCUGUCUUAUAGCCUGUUGUAAAGAUUAAAUGAGAUAAUUAACGUAAAGAAUUUAGAACGGUGUCUUGUAUAUGGCAUGGUAAUAGGCCAAUUAAUAGUAUCAAAGUAACGUAAUCAGGCCUGUGUGGCUUUGUGACAUGAAAGCUGUUUCAGGUAGUUUUCUAAAGGCUCUCUGCCUCUGAGCACUACCCUUUGCUCGCACCCUUUUCUGGCCCUGUCACCUGUAUUUCCCAUUACACGGUGAGGUGCGCCGUCCAGGUUUCAGCCUGAGGCAACACCUGAGAGUUGGUUCAGGUUGAAUCCGAGGACUGGGUAAUUAUCUCAAGACCAUGCUCCCCAUGUGAACACAACACCCUGUGUUAAGUCUGCCCUCCACUCCCAACCCCCGGGCUGUAAUCCAUAUAAAUUCCCUUUCCAGUCUUGAUGCUAAAAUGACCUUGGAUAACUUUUCCACUCUGCUUUUUUUGCAUUCUGUCUCACUGUCUAAUACAAUGCCACAUUGAUUUGACUAAGAUGACAGCUUUGUCAUUGGGAGAAAAAUUUUUACAUGUUUCCAUAAUGCUCUUUCUAAAGCACAAAGCAAUUUUGUCAUUAAAUCCUGAAUGCUCUCUUUAGUUCCAUUUCAAGAUGGCUUUUCCCAGAGCCAGAUGAAAGUCUUCGAAAUGACUUCUGACAACUAUCAAAUGACAGUAUUAUUCUUGCCACCAUGUUGUUUCUAAUCUACAAGGAAAGGGCGGCAGGCAUUAAGGAGAGAAUGUAAUCACUUUCUCUAGAGAACUGCUAUUUUGUAAGGUUAUCAAAACCCCCCAAAUUAGCAGUUUGAAUUCUUUCUUUAAGGAUUUUCACUAUCCUCCUUCUUUAACACACACUUUGGGGGCAGGGAGUGUAUGAGUUUGUCCUCUCCAGAUAAUCAAGCCUAAACAUCUGUUGACACUAAAUUGGGCCCCCCUAUAUUUGGUUUGGUGGUAA